UUAUAAAGUUAGCAUGGGGCACGUGCCUCACCUGCUAUACGGCUAGGUCCGCCCCUGUAUACCACCCUCGUCUCAUCUGUCUUCGGAGACGAGCUCAUCUCUCAGUCGCCUUCUCAGUUCCAAAGACGAUUGUUCCCGCUCUUCCUAGUCUUCGAUGACCUUCAAUCGAGCCAGAUAACCCUCGAACUUCUCACUAGUGGUCGAUAAGGCUACCACCUUUUGCAGUCUUCAUCUCCAGCUCACGGUGUUUCCUCCAACCGUAAACACGUAGCUUUCUAUGGACCUCCUUCUGUCCAAGUCUGCUGCAUAAUCGGAGUCACAGUAGCCUCUGAUUACGAAGUCUUUCUACUUAGUGAAAGUUAAGUUUAGCUUUAGCGCUCCUUGAAUGUAUCUCCUUUAUCCAUUUCACUGCAUACGCAAGAUCUGUCCUGGAUCCAACCGUGGCGUACAUGAGGCUUCCUACUGCGCUUGAGUAAGGGCAAUCACGCUUCCAGUGUCCCUCAGCUCCACAGACCCAACACGUCUUGUCUGUUUUCCCUGAAGGCUUGCCUCUGGACUUUGAUCUCAUUCUACCCCUUUGCUUGUUGUUCCAAGGCUUGUUGCCUCCAUUUUCAUUUCUCUGUGCUGAUCUUCCUCUAGCAUCAACGUACAGCCCCUCUGACUGUUUCCACUUUCACAGUAAGCCUUUCUGCUUGAGCUCUGCUUCCUUUGAAUAAGCAGCAGUAAGGAAGAAACGUAAGGAAGAAGAAAGCAAAAACACACGAGAUGUUUUAAAGUUUUCCGUCAAUGGACUAGGUACAUCUCCUUCAGGAUCGGUACCUAGAAUUCACUAUCACAGUGUUUGCAGAAGGUUUCUCUCUCUAGACUACAAUGGCAGUCCCUCUCCUCUGUAUCGUAAUCCAGAUAAAGAAGAUGAUGUUGUUACGGGUUGUUAUAUGAGGUGUUAUCCUCUACAACGCGUCCAUCGAGUCUUCACGUUCUUCACUCUUGGGCUUCCGAUGGGCUUCGCUGGAGUGGAGUCAAGCACCACCUCUCACAGUAUACAUCGAACAUGAAUUCUAUUUUCAGGUUAAAAAAGACUGAGAAGCUACUGCAAGCUGCAAUCCACAUGAUCUGGAGAGAAAGAAAUAUUCUGCUCAAGGUCUACACAAGCUGUUGGAUAAGAAUGUGAAAAAGAAAAUGUGAGAAAUGGUCUUGCUCUUUUGAGAUCUACAGAUAACAAGAAGCAUGAAGGUCUUAUACAAUUUUGGUUUGGCACUAGAUUGUAAAGUUAAUAUCUAGAGUCUCAGAUUUUGUUUGCACUUGAUGUACAAAACAUGUUUUUCGGUGAGUAUAAUUUAA